CCUACGGGAGGCAGCAGUGGGGAAUAUUGGACAAUGGUGGAAACCCUGAUCCAGCAACGCCGUGUGUGUGAAGAAGGCCUUAGGGUUGUAAAGCACUUUCAGUAGGGAAGAAAAGCUUAAGGGUAAUAUCCUUGAGUCUUGACGUUACCUACAGAAGAAGCACUGGCUAACUCUGUGCCAGCAGCCGCGGUAAU
rnacentral:rRNA from 1 species